rnacentral:rRNA from 1 species
GACGAACGCUGGCGGCGUGCUUAACACAUGCAAGUCGAACGGAAAGGCCCUGCUCUUGUGGGUUGCUCGAGUGGCGAAGGGGAGAGUAACACGUGAGUAACCUGACCUUGACUUUUGUAUAACUUCACGAAACUGGGGCUAAUAUCGGAUAGGAUCUCCUGCGGCUUGGUGGUGGUUGGAAAGGUUCGGCGGUUGGGGAUGGACUCGCGGCGCAUCAGGCUGUUGGUCGGGUAGGUGCUGACGUCGGCUUUGACGGGUAGCCGGCGUGAGAGGGUUGCCGGCCACGCUGGGACUGAGAUACGGCCCAGCCUCGUACGGGAUGGAACAGUGGGGAAUAUUGCGCAGUGGGGGGGAGCCUGGUGCGACGGCGCCGUGUGCGGGAUGACCGCCUUCGGGCAGUGAACCACUUUCGCCUGUGACGAAGCGUGAGUGACGGUAAUGGGUAAAGAAGCACCGGCUAACUACGUG